GCGGGUGUGGCGAAACUGGCAGACGCACGAGAUUUAGGUUCUCGCGCCGUGAGGUGUGCAGGUUCAAGUCCUGUCACCCGCACCA
rnacentral:tRNA from 1 species